GUACGUCUUCAGGGCGGGGCGAAACUCCCCACCGGCGGUAUGCCGCGCAAUGCGGUGAGCCCGCAAGCGCCCGGCUUUAAGCCGGGGUCAGCAGAUCUGGUACGAAGCCAGAGCCGACGGUCAUAGUCCGGAUGGAAGAAGAUGUGC
rnacentral:ncRNA from 2 species